GGGUGAUGAAAUGUUUUGUGCCAGAAAAAAUCCCACAAAGGGUUUAUACACAGCUCUAAAAGGAGCGUUGGCCAAGGACUCCUAGGAUUCGGACAAAUAUUUGAGAAAGGCGAUGACGAACGUGAAAAACAAACUAACAAAA